rnacentral:rRNA from 1 species
CUAAGUUUGAUGGCGACCGGCGCACGGGUGAGUAACACGUAUCCAACCUGCCGAUGACUCGGGGAUAGCCUUUCGAAAGAAAGAUUAAUACCCGAUGGCAUAGUUCUUCCGCAUGGUAGAACUAUUAAAGGAUUUCGGUCAUCGAUGGGGAUGCGUUCCAUUAGGUUGUUGGCGGGGUAACGGCCCACCAAGCCUUCGAUGGAUAGGGGUUCUGAGAGGAAGGUCCCCCACAUUGGAACUGAGACACGGUCCAAACUCCUACGGGAGGCAGCAAUG